UACGUAGGUGACCAGCGUUGUCCGGAUUUACUGGGCGUAAAGAGCGCGCAGGCGGUCGUUCAAGUCGAGUGUGAAAGCCCCCGGCUCAACUGGGGAGGGUCAUUCGAUACUGAUCGACUGGAAGGCAGGAGAGGGAAGCGGAAUUCCCGGUGUAGUGGUGAAAUGCGUAGAUAUCGGAAGGAACACCAGUGGCGAAGGCGGCUUCCUGGCCUGUUCUUGACGCUGAGGCGCGAAAGCUAGGGGAGCAAACGGG
rnacentral:rRNA from 1 species